UCAAAUUUUACAUCUUGUAUUCGAAUACACAUCAGUGUAGUCGAAUACAGAUCAAUGUAUUUUAGCCUCUGACUUAACUUGUAUUCGACUACAUAUGAGUGUAGUCGAAUACACUUGGCUACUGACUUAGCAUGUAGUCGACUACAGAUGGGUGUAGUCGAAUACACUUGGCCACUGACUUAGCUUGUAGUCGACUACAGAUGCGUGUAGUCGAAUACACCAUUUAAAGUUUUGCUUCUGACUUAAGUUGUAUUCGAAUACAACAUGGUGUAUUCGAAUACACU
rnacentral:lncRNA from 1 species